rnacentral:rRNA from 1 species
UACGGGAGGCAGCAGUAGGGAAUCUUCCGCAAUGGACGAAAGUCUGACGGAGCAACGCCGCGUGAGCGAUGAAGGCCUUCGGGUCGUAAAGCUCUGUUGUCAGGGAAGAACAAGUAUCGGAGUAACUGCCGGUACCUUGACGGUACCUGACCAGAAAGCCACGGCUAACUACGUGCCAGCAGCCGCGGUAAUACGUAGGUGGCAAGCGUUGUCCGGAAUUAUUGGGCGUAAAGCGCGCGCAGGCGGUUCCUUAAGUCUGAUGUGAAAGCCCCCGGCUCAACCGGGGAGGGUCAUUGGAAACUGGGGAACUUGAGUGCAGAAGAGGAGAGCGGAAUUCCACGUGUAGCGGUGAAAUGCGUAGAGAUGUGGAGGAACACCAGUGGCGAAGGCGGCUCUCUGGUCUGUAACUGACGCUGAGGCGCGAAAGCGUGGGGAGCGAACAGGAUUAGAUACCCUGGUAGUCCACGCCGUAAACGAUGAGUGCUAAGUGUUAGAGGGUUUCCGCCCUUUAGUGCUGCAGCAAACGCAUUAAGCACUCCGC